AUUUUAAGGUUUUCCUAAUUUCUUAAUUUUUGUUUGUUUUUUGUUUUGUUUUUUGUUUUUAUAUACUGUAGUGUUUUAACCAAACAGUUGUGGCUACUCAUGGUGAGGAAUGACCGCUAAGAGUGUGGGUUCUUUGCAAUACAUUUGGAGGUCACUGCUCCCCGUUGAUGUUUAGGAGGUUGAGAGGUUUGCCCUAGCAGCAGGCGUCUACAUCUGGAAGGCACCUGGGUGACUCUGAAGAGAGGCAAACACAAGUGUUUUGAGAGCUACAUCUCAAAGGCUCCAUGUGAACCAUGCUUGCCUCUUUUGGCACUCACAAGGAAAAGAAGAAAAAAAUGUUUCUCCCUUGUCAUACUGGGCAGAAGCUGGAUCCAGAUACAGAGCUACAAUUUUGUUACAGAGCCGUUUUCAAGAUGUCUGGACUGUGUGCUGGUGUAAGAGUUCUUGCCUCUGCCUUGCUGGCUAGGACUGAAUUGUGUUUGGCUAUGGGCCAUUGUGGCCACUGUAGGAUACAGAGCUGCAUCCUUGAGCUGCACUCACUUGAUGCCAGGAGCACCAUCGAGUUCUGACAAGAAAGCUAUCCUUUGCCAAUAAUUGUUUAUUUAGAAAUAAAGCAGCUUGGUAGAUGAAGCCAGAACCUUGUCCUUUGAAGACUUGACUAUGUCCAGUAUUGAGAGACUCAUGCUAGGGCCUGGCAUCCACAGAACCAGUUCUGACCUCUGAGACCCAGGUGCACACUGUUGACUUGAUAGCUCUGCAUUUCCCCAGCUCUGUACAGAGCCACGUGCUUCUUUUCCUCACUCCACCCUGGUGAACAUCCUUAGCCACAGAGCUCGUCUGAAGGCAUGCUUUCGCUCUGAAAGACAAAACUCUAGAAGCCAGGACAGUGCAUAUGUGAGAUGUUUAGUCAUUUUCCUCGACCUUCACAACAGAGAAGCAAAAGGACCUGAAGGGCAGCUGUUGCCUGGUAUAACCAGGGCACCUCCUCAGAGUCACGUGUCCUAUACAUGUGUCAAUAGUAAUUAAUAGAGGGAUGUUUGGGGACAAUUUUUAUUGCGACUGUCUAGCUUUAUCCAGAAAGGGCACAAGAAUAAAAUGUGUGCUUCUUGUUUUAUACUCUUCAGUUGAGUGCCUUUUUUCUACUCACAAGAUUUAUAAGGUUAGCAGCUGGCUUCUCUAAGAGUCUAAAUUUCCUCCAGAACACUUCCCAUUUUAUUAAAGCAGAAUUUGCAUUGCUGUUCAGGACUAACCUUUGGUUUUGUCAAUGUGUGAAAGAAGCAUUCAGGAUCUCCUUAGAGGGUCUCAGCCAUAGAAUCAGAGAAAAUAGCUUAGUGUACAGCACACCUGGCCACCCAGUGCCAGAUAGCAACUUCCUUAUUCCUGGGUAGAGCCCUUUGCCCCAUACUAGUCUGCCAUUGGUUUCUGACUAGCCCACAAC
rnacentral:lncRNA from 1 species